GACGAACGCUGGCGGCGUGCUUAACACAUGCAAGUCGAACGGAAAGGCCCUGCUUUUGUGGGGUGCUCGAGUGGCGAACGGGUGAGUAACACGUGAGUAACCUGCCCUUGACUUUGGGAUAACUUCAGGAAACUGGGGCUAAUACCGGAUAGGAGCUCCUGCUGCAUGGUGGGGGUUGGAAAGUUUCGGCGGUUGGGGAUGGACUCGCGGCUUAUCAGCUUGUUGGUGGGGUAGUGGCUUACCAAGGCUUUGACGGGUAGCCGGCCUGAGAGGGUGACCGGCCACAUUGGGACUGAGAUACGGCCCAGACUCCUACGGGAGGCAGCAGUGGGGAAUAUUGCACAAUGGGCGGAAGCCUGAUGCAGCAACUCCGCGUGCGGGAUGACGGCCUUCGGGUUGUAAACCGCUUUCGCCUGUGACGAAGCGUGAGUGACGGUACUGGGUAAAGAAGCACCGGCUAACUACGU
rnacentral:rRNA from 1 species